rnacentral:rRNA from 1 species
AGAAAGUGGCGAACGGGUGAGUAACGCGUGGGUAAUCUACCCUGUAAGUGGGGGAUAACCCUCCGAAAGGAGGGCUAAUACCGCAUAACAUCUUCCCUUCAUAAGAAGGAGAGAUUAAAGAUGGCCUCUUUAUAUGCUAUCACUUCAGGAUGAGUCCGCGUCCUAUUAGUUAGUUGGUAGGGUAAUGGCCUACCAAGACCACAAUGGGUAGCCGGUCUGAGAGGAUGUACGGCCACACUGGGACUGAGAUACGGCCCAGACUCCUACGGGAGGCAGCAGUGGGGAAUAUUGCGCAAUGGGGGAAACCCUGACGCAGCGACGCCGCGUGGAUGAUGAAGGCCUUCGGGUUGUAAAGUCCUGUUCUGGGGGACGAAACCUUAAGGGUCCAAUAGGCCCUUAAGCUGACGGUACCCCAAGAGAAAGCUCCGGCUAAUUAUGUGCCAGCAGCCGCGGUAAUACAUAAGGAGCAAGCGUUGUCCGGAAUUAUUGGGCGUAAAGAGCUCGUAGGCGGUCUUAAAAGUCAGGUGUGAAAUUAUCAGGCUUAACCUGAUAAGGUCAUCUGAAACUCUAAGACUUGAGGAUAGAAGAGGAAAG